AUGCUAAACAAUGGAGCCAAGCUGACGUCGAAGACACAGGCAUGUUUGAGGGCGCUCCUGGCUGCCUCUGGAAUGAUUGAUCUUGUCCCCAGUCACCUGCCACACUUCCAGACACCGCUUGGCAUCACCGAGAAUGAGCUAAGAUGCUCAGAAGAAUGUCAUUUUGCUCUGGGCAAAGACAGUUAACAUUGAGAUGACGUUCCGACUUUCAAGAAAAAAAUGGAAGGACUUUGAAAUGGGCAGCUAGGUGACUGGAUGCCCUACCCAGGGAGCCUGUGUGCAGGGGGUAAGUGGGGACCCUGCCCAGGUUGCCUGUGUGCAGGGAUCUGCUCUUCUUGCCUUAACACUCCAAAAGAAAACUGACUUUAAAGCAGCUGAGUCUUGUCCUCCAAACAGUUAAAUACAUUGUUGUCUGGAGGUGUGCCCUUGACUGUUGCCCUGG
rnacentral:lncRNA from 1 species